GCCAGGGUGGCGGGAGCCUCCCAGCAACGGCCCAGACCGGCUGGACUGUCUGGUCCUAGCUCGGCCCAGCACUCGGGGGUGUCACAGGCACAGAAAAAAGCCCCUGCCCUCAGCUUGGUCUGGCACUCUUUGCUCAGACUCCCCCUACCCAGUACAGGGCCCCGGCCAGCAAAGGACCUUGCAGAGCCGUGCAGGGGCCAGUGGCACAGCCCUGGCUGCCGGGGGGGGUGGCGUCGUGGGGAGGCCUGGCACCAUUUGGGCCCUGUUUGUUACAUUUCCUCCAACCGCACUUGGACUUCCCAUGGAUUCCCACGGGAUGCCGGUCCCGGCCCCUCCCAGCCCCAGGGUGGCAUUUUCCAGCUGUCAGCGAGAGAGAUGUGAGCCCCCCUACCACCCCAAGGCCCUGGGACAGAAGGAUGUUAUUUCUGGCUGAAGCCAGUGAAACGUGGAUGGACCCCUGCCUCCCACUGCCACGGGCUCUCCGAAGGCUGCCAGGGUUUCAGAGGACUCAGGGCACCUGUAAGAGCAAUGAAUAAUUCCUCCUCUCCACACACAGCACCAGGAGGGAAAACGCAGCCACGGAAGCUGGGCCUCCUCCCGGCUUGUGAUGGCAUCCCUGGUACAAGGCCCAGGAAAGUGGGCAGCGCCAGGAACGAAGAAAGGAGAUACCCUGAAAACCAUCCUCAGACCCCCCAGGACAGCAGCGACAGGCAACCGGGGCAGCUCACACACGCUCCGGCCGUGGGGAGCGCCUGCACCACAGACCUGGCUCUGGCAGGGCAGGCUGGAGGCACAAGCUCUUCACUGAACCCGGGAUGAAGAUGCUCCUUGCCAAGCAGAAGCAGCUACAUUCAAGAGUAGGUCAAGUUCAGAUUCUGCACCAGGACCUCAGGGCUGUUCUGACAUGGAAUCAUAGCACCCGGUACAGGAGGACAUGAUCCCACAGGGCUCCAGGGCCAUUACCUGGCCUGCCGCCUCCCCAAGGAGAGACCCGAGAUCAGUGUUCAGCCACACACCCUGCCCUGGGUGCCCCCUCCCCUAGGGACCAGGAGCAUCUGCUGCCGCCAGCUUCCCGCGCGCUGUGCCGGGCAUCUCGCCCCUGCCCCUGGAGCACUCGCCUGGGCUGGGAGAGGAUCUGACCGAAAAGACAAGGACCCCUUUUCUUGCUUCUGCCAUCAUGACACACAGGACUGCGGCAUCUCAGUCUCCAAACACAUGACAGGCUUCCAUCUCACUUU